AGCUUUGCGCCAUGGCAGUAUCGUAGCCAAUGAGGUUUAUUCAAGGCAUAAUUAUUGCUAAUUUAAAAAAAUCAAGUAAUUCUUCUGUUGUAUCUCAGUACUUUAAUGUACAGCACAAAAGCCACAAGAAGUUUAACAGAAU
rfam:Mustela putorius furo unplaced genomic scaffold scaffold00073, whole genome shotgun sequence.